CAGGUCACUCCUACGGGAGGCAGCAGUGGGGAAUAUUGGACAAUGGGGGCAACCCUGAUCCAGCAAUGCCGCGUGAGUGAUGAAGGCCUUCGGGUUGUAAAGCUCUUUUGGCGGGGACGAUGAUGACGGUACCCGCAGAAUAAGCCCCGGCUAACUUCGUGCCAGCAGCCGCGGUAAUACGAAGGGGGCUAGCGUUGUUCGGAAUUACUGGGCGUAAAGGGCGCGUAGGCGGUCCUGAUCGUCGGAUGUGAAAGGCCUGGGCUCAACCUGGGAACUGCAUCCGAUACGGCGGGACUGGAGUGUGGGAGAGGUUGGUGGAAUUCCCAGUGUAGAGGUGAAAUUCGUAGAUAUUGGGAAGAACACCGGUGGCGAAGGCGGCCAACUGGACCACAACUGACGCUGAGGCGCGAAAGCGUGGGGAGCAAACAGGAUUAGAUACCCUGGUAGUCCACGCUGUAAACGAUGCGUGCUAGACGUUGGGAGCCCUAGGCUCUCGGUGUCGUCGCUAACGCUUUAAGCACGCCGCCUGGGGAGUACGGCCGCAAGGUUAAAACUCAAAGGAAUUGACG
rnacentral:rRNA from 1 species